AUGAGAUAUAGAUUCAGUGUGUUCUAUGAUCAAGUUGAAUCCGCUACCACCUGUCUCUAUUAGACCAUGAAAUUAAUUUGGAGAAGUUAACUGAAAUAAAACGUAGAAAAAAAGAAAAAAAGCAGCAUGAAAUUACAAGUUGUUAGGUGAGCAGAAAAGUUAGAGGGUAAAGUGAAUUCCGACGGGGAUGAAUCAUAACUUCGACAUUACCAGAAGAUACAAAAGUUGUCAUGACUUUUUUAAUUUUUGAGUAAUCAGUGGAAAAAGAUUAUAACACCCUAACAAAUAUAAUCUCACACAAGUUACCACUUAUGUAUUUAUCGGAAUAUUGAGUAGACAUGACAUUAUUGUAUACUCCUUAGUAUAUCAUAAACAACAUUUCAGGUUUUUAUUGGAAUGGCUUUUUUAAACAAACCUAUUUUUGGCGC
rnacentral:lncRNA from 1 species